GACGAACGCUGGCGGCGUGCUUAACACAUGCAAGUCGAACGGAAAGGCCCUGCUUUUGUGGGGUGCUCGAGUGGCGAACGAGUGAGUAACACGUGAGUAACCUGCCCUUGACUUUGGGAUAACUUCAGGAAACUGGGGCUAAUACCGGAUAGGAGCUCCUGCUGCAUGGUGGGGGUUGGAAAGUUUCGGCGGUUGGGGAUGGACUCGCGGCUUAUCAGCUUGUUGGUGGGGUAGUGGCUUACCAAGGCUUUGACGGGUAGCCGGCCUGAGAGGGUGACCGGCCACAUUGGGACUGAGAUACGGCCCAGACUCCUACGGGAGGCAGCAGUGGGGAAUAUUGCACAAUGGGCGGAAGCCUGAUGCAGCAACGCCGCGUGCGGGAUGACGGCCUUCGGGUUGUAAACCGCUUUCGCCUGUGACGAAGCGUGAGUGACGGUAAUGGGUAAAGAAGCACCGGCUAACUACGUGCCAGCAGCCGCGGUGAUACGUAGGGUGCGAGCGUUGUCCGGAUUUAUUGGGCGUAAAGGGCUCGUAGGUGGUUGAUCGCGUCGGAAGUGUAAUCUUGGGGCUUAACCCUGAGCGUGCUUUCGAUACGGGUUGACUUGAGGAAGGUAGGGGAGAAUGGAAUUCCUGGUGGAGCGGUGGAAUGCGCAGAUAUCAGGAGGAACACCAGUGGCGAAGGCGGUUCUCUGGGCCUUUCCUGACGCUGAGGAGCGAAAGCGUGGGGAGCGAACAGGCUUAGAUACCCUGGUAGUCCACGCUGUAAACGGUGGGUACUAGGUGUGGGGUCCAUUCCACGGGUUCCGUGCCGUAGCUAACGCUUUAAGUACCCCGCCUGGGGAGUACGGCCGCAAGGCUAAAACUCAAAGGAAUUGACGGGGCCCCGCACAAGCGGCGGAGCAUGCGGAUUAAUUCGAUGCAACGCGUAGAACCUUACCUGGGUUUGACAUGGAUCGGGAGUGCUCAGAGAUGGGUGUGCCUCUUUUGGGGUCGGUUCACAGGUGGUGCAUGGCUGUCGUCAGCUCGUGUCGUGAGAUGUUGGGUUAAGUCCCGCAACGAGCGCAACCCUUGUUCACUGUUGCCAGCACGUUAUGGUGGGGACUCAGUGGAGACCGCCGGGGUCAACUCGGAGGAAGGUGGGGAUGACGUCAAGUCAUCAUGCCCCUUAUGUCCAGGGCUUCACGCAUGCUACAAUGGCUGGUACAGAGAGUGGCGAGCCUGUGAGGGUGAGCGAAUCUCGGAAAGCCGGUCUCAGUUCGGAUUGGGGUCUGCAACCCGACCUCAUGAAGUCGGAGUCGCUAGUAAUCGCAGAUCAGCAACGCUGCGGUGAAUACGUUCCCGGGGC
rnacentral:rRNA from 1 species